rnacentral:sRNA from 1 species
GGAGGCGGCUCUGUACCAGACGGACUGUACUGAGAGCCUAUGACAAUGGCCGAAGGCCAAGUCCUGUAUCUGCCAUGUCUGUGGCGUCCACCUCAACAGGCUGCAUUCCUGCCUCUACUGUGUCUUCUUCGGCUGUUUCACAAAGAAGCAUAUUCACGAGCAUGCGAAGUCGAAGCGGCAUAACCUGGCCAUUGAUCUGAUGUACGGAGGCUCCCGGAGCUGCUUUGAAGAUGGAUGAGAUGAGGGGUGUGCUCUGGGUGGGAGGAGCGGCGUACACCCGUCACCAGAGCAUCUCUUGUGUCCUCAUGAUACGGGGCUGCAACGGGGGCCUCACAGCACAGAGUGACCGCCGCCUGGUGUUCCCCAGCACUCGGUGUGGAAAGGUCCCUACCUGCUGUAAGAUUAUGGGUCCAUUAAAGCAGUAAGCUGAAGACACAGAGGUGUAGUGUGCGGGACAGAGGGCCUUGCAGAUGCCUUUCUGUUGGUGUUUUAGUGUUAAAAUACGGAGAGUAUGGAACUCUUCACCUCCAUUUUUCUCAGUGGCUGUGAAGCAGCCUUCUAGCUUCGAAGUAAGGACACUACGUCGCGUUUUCAAGCGUGUCUGUUCCGCAGGUAACUUAGCAUCAAGCUGCACGUGGAAGCAUCUCACAGUUUUCUAGAAACAGGCAUUUUCUUAUCCCUCUC